GUAUAGGCGAUAGAAAUUUUAUCCUGGUGCUAUAGACACAGUACCGUAAGGGAAAGAUGAAAAAAAUUAACCAAGCACAAAAUAGCAAGGACUCACCCCUAUAGCUUCUGCAUAAUGAAUUAACUAGAGACAAUUUCGCAAAGAGAACUAAAGCCAAAUUCCCCGAAACCAGAUGAGCUACCCCAAAACAGCUAAAAGAGCGCACCCGUCUAUGUAGCAAAAUAGUGGGAAGAUUUAUGGGUAGAAUUGACAAGCCUACUGAGCCUGGUGAUAGCUGGUUAUCCAAGAUAGAAUCUUAGUUCAACCUUAAGUUUACCUGCAGAAUCACUCAAUCCCCCUGUAAACUUAAUUGUUAGUGUAAAGAGGGACAGCUCUUUAGACAUUAGGAAAAAACCUUGUAUAGGGAGUAAAAAAAAUCCAAUUCCCAUAGUUGGCCCAAAAGCAGCCAUCAAUUAAGAAAGUGUUCAAGCUCAACAUCAAUUAUCUAAAAAAAAUCCCAAACAUCUUACUGAACUCCUCACAUCACGUUGGAUUAAUCUAUUAUUUUAUAGAAGCAACAAUGCUAGUAUAAGUAACAUGAAUAUUUUCUCCACCGCAUAAGCCUAAAUCAGACUGAAAAACUUCACCAAUGCUUAACAGCCCAAUAUUAAUAAAUAUAAACAAGCCAGUAUUAUUUAUACUGUUAAUCCAACACAGGCAUGCUUUUGAGGAAAGGAAAAGUAAAAGGAACUCGGCAAACUCAACCCCGCCUGUUUACCAAAAACAUCACCUCUAGCAUUACUAGUAUUAGAGGCACUGCCUGCCCAGUGACACAUGUUUAAUGGCCGCGGUACCCUGACCGUGCAAAGGUAGCAUAAUCACUUGUUGUUUAAAUGGGGACUUGCGUGAAUGGCACCACGAGGGUUCAACUGUCUCUUACUUUCAACCAGUGAAAUUGACCUGCUCGUGAAGAGGCGGACAUAAAAUAAUAAGACGAGAAGACCCUAUGGAGCUUUAAUUUAUUAAUGCAGCCAAGAUCACAUAAAUCUAUGGACCUUUAAACCACUACACCUGCACUAAAAAUUUUGGUUGGAGUGACCUCGGAGCAUAACUAAACCUCCGAAUAACCUAUGCUAAGACUACACAAGCGAAAGCGAACCAACACCUAUAAUUGAUCCAAUAACAUGACCAAUGGAAGAAGUUACCCUAGGGAUAACAGCGCAAUCCUAUUCUAGAGUCCUUAUCGACNNNNNNNNNNGGAAAAACCUUGUAUAGAGAGUAAAAAAAUCCAAUUCCCAUAGUUGGCCCAAAAGCAGCCAUCAAUUAAGAAAGUGUUCAAGCUCAACAUCAAUUAUCUAAAAAAAUAUCCCAAACAUCUUACUGAACUCCUCAUAUCACGUUGGAUUAACAUCACCUCUAGCAUUACUAGUAUUAGAGGCACUGCCUGCCCAGUGACACAUGUUUAAUGGCCGCGGUACCCUGACCGUGCAAAGGUAGCAUAAUCACUUGUUGUUUAAAUGGGGACUUGCGUGAAUGGCACCACGAGGGUUCAACUGUCUCUUACUUUCAACCAGUGAAAUUGACCUGCUCGUGAAGAGGCGGACAUAAAAUAAUAAGAUGAGAAGACCCUAUGGAGCUUUAAUUUAUUAAUGCAGCCAAGAUCACAUAAAUCUACGGACCUUGAAACCACUACACCUGCACUAAAAAUUUUGGUUGGAGUGACCUCGGAGCAUAACUAAACCUCCGAAUAACCUAUGCUAAGACUACACAAGGGAAAGCGAACCAACACCUAUAAUUGAUCCAAUAACAUGACCAAUGGAAGAAGUUACCCUAGGGAUAACAGCGCAAUCCUAUUCUAGAGUCCUUAUCGACAAUAGGGUUUACGACCUCGAUGUUGGAUCAGGACAUCCUAAUGGUGCAGCAGCUAUCAAGGGUUCGUUUGUUCAACGAUUAAAGUCCUACGUGAUCUGAGUUCAGACCGGAGCAAUCCAGGUCAGUUUCUAUCUAUUCUAUAUUUCUCCCUGUACAA
rnacentral:ncRNA from 1 species